rnacentral:rRNA from 1 species
AUGCCUAAUACAUGCAAGUCGAACGCCUCGAGCGAUCGAGGAGUGGCGCACGGGUGAGUAACGCGUGGGAACCUGCCCUGGAGUUUGGGAUAACCCGGCGAAAGCCGGGCUAAUACCGGAUACGCCCCAAGGGGGAAAGAUUUAUCGCUCUAGGAGGGGCCCGCGUCGGAUUAGCUAGUUGGUGGGGUAACGGCCUACCAAGGCGAUGAUCCGUAGCUGGUCUGAGAGGAUGAUCAGCCACACUGGGACUGAGACACGGCCCAG